GCGAGGGGGCGUCCUGGCCCCUCCCGCUUCCUCCCGCCCUUCUUCUUGCUGCCUGCUGGCCUCCUGGGUUUACGGUGUCACUGCGGCCAGGGCUGGGGGAACAGGACGUCUAGAAGACGGUGUGAGAUACUGGAGGGCCAGAGAAAGCAAGCUUGAAACAGAGAGGAACGGGUCACUUUGGUGGAGGAAAUUGGGCCACCAAGCAGCCCUAUGGAGAGGCCAAUGUGGAGAGAAACUGAGGCCUUCCACCAAAAGCCAGCACCAACUUGCUAUCCAUGUGAGUGAACCAGCUUGCAGUACAGAGUGGUCAACCCCAGUCAAGCUUUCAGAUAACUACAAGCCUAGUUGACAUCUUGACUACAACUUCAAGAGAGACAUCAAGGCAGAACUGCUUCGCUAAACUGCUCUUGAAUUCUUGACCCACAGAAACUGAGAGAGAGAAUAAAUAUUUAUUGUUGUUUCAAGUAACUACAUCCUGGGGGUAACUUCUUAUGUAUAGAUAAUAUAUACCAUAAAUUUCUUGAAAGUAAGA
ensembl:lncRNA GPR84-AS1 GPR84, ZNF385A, ITGA5 and GTSF1 antisense RNA 1